UCAGACAAAGCCUGGACCCAGUCCAGGCGCCCCGGGUGAGCUAGCCGCUGAGCCCAUGGCCUCAGCUCUGUCCUAGAGGGCACCCCAGGAAGCCCCCCUCUCCAGGCCUAGGACAUGGUCUUGGCUGCCCCUGACUUCCUGGAAGGAACCUGUGACCCUGAUCAUGUCCAUGAGCUUGAGGAGACUGUGUUUGGUGUUUGUCCACAACGUCAUCUUAUUAUGGACUGAAUCAUAACACCCCCUAAAUUCAUGUGUUGAAGCCCUAACCUCAGUGCCUCCAAAUGUGGCUGCACUUGGAGAUGGGGUCUUUAAAGAGGUAAUUAAGGUUAAAUGAGGUCAUUGAGGGUGGGGCCUAAUCCAGAGUCAUUAGUGCCCUUAUAAGAAGGGGAGAUGAGAACAGGGCACAGAAGGAGGUUGACUCCCAGUCCAGGAGAGAGGCUUCAGACGGAAGUGGAUCUGCGGGUGCCUUGAUCUUGGACACCCAGCCUCCAACUUUUGGGGGACCUGGAGAUGCCUCUGAUGGAGAGGGGGCUUGAGAAUCACUCUGGGCUGGAAUGAACAGGGCUACUCCUCUCCACAAAAAAUGUUCAUUUUUGAAUCUGAAUAUGUCAUCUUGCAAGAGUCCUUGGUCCUUCACAAGUAGACUCCAGUCCUAUUUGUGAAGACCUGCAGUUUUCCUCAAAUCCUCUGCUCUGUUCUUCGUACAGUCAUGUGAUGGAAAUGAGUGCUUUUUCUCCCUGGAGAAAUAACCUACAGACAAAAAAAGAAGUAGCACUACAUUGAGAAAUCUGCAAAUCCCAAAAGUCAUCAGCUCGAAGACAACCCCCAGGAAUAAGGAAGAAAAUAAGUGUCACCAGAGACCAGCCAAGUACAUGUAAGGACAGCAAGCUGGAGUGAUGACCGUUUCAAUGACACCGACCCUGACAGUUUGGUUAUUUACCCAUUGUCUCCAGCUUCCUGUGCUGCUGCGUUUCUAUCCUCUGCUGUGUGAUGCUGGAGCUGGGAGCAAGCUAGCUACAGUUGCUUGGCUUCCUGGAGCGGGCUUUCUGUUAGUAUCUGCCAAUAGGAAGCAAUGGCUGGAGAUUAGAAGGCAGAGGAAGGAGAGAAGCUUCCUGCUUCUGCCUCUAACACUGUGGCAGUUGCUGGAAGUUACUGGCAACAGCAAGUUGUUACUGCAACAAGGCACAGCUGCAAGAGCAGUGGGCGUGGCAUGAUUCCAGUGUCUAUCCACCCAGGCUAAGGCAGCGUCUUUUCGGGGCUCCAGACCAAUAGCAACAGUUCUCCAAUAGUGCAGCAGCAGAUGCAAGCUCCAGGGGUCCACCUGGAGGGGGGGAGGGGCACCAGCAGCCUCUCUGAUCCUUGGGUAUCCAUCCUCUUUGCUUUUUCUGCCCCUUCUUUUUUCAUUCAGCCCUUCCAACAAUUUGCAAUCAAUCUCCUGUGUGAUAGUCCCUCCAUCCAAAAUACCCAGAAUAGUUUUCUUAUCUUUUUUCAUUUCUUUUUUUGGCUGCCCCACGACAUAUGGAAU